CGUAGGUGCAAGCGUUGUCCGGAAUUAUUGGGCGUAAGAGCUCGUAGGCGGUUUGUCGCGUCUGCUGUGAAAUCCCGAGGCUCAACCUCGGGUCUGCAGUGGGUACGGACAGACUAGAGUGCGGUAGGGAGAUUGGAAUUCCUGGUGUAGCGGUGGAAUGCGCAGAUAUCAGGAGGAACACCGAUGGCGAAGGCAGAUCUCUGGGCCGCUACUGACGCUGAGGAGCGAAAGGGUGGGAGCAAACAGGCUU
rnacentral:rRNA from 1 species